CUCAUUGUAUUUUGACAAUUCAUACGCUGUGCCUCUCUAUAAUACAUACCAUCUUCAGCUUAAAGAUUGGGGCAGAUACGUAAAUUAAGGGUAAAUGUGAAGCAACACACUCCGACUAAAGAAAGGAAAAUUAAAAUUUCGUCGUAACCAUAUAAUUAAAUAGUUAAUUCGUACAUUUCAAGUAAACGUGUGUGAUGAUACAUGAAUAUAAUACAUCAAUCUAUACAUUUAACUAGUUAAAUAAAUAGUAACACUCCACAAACGUCCGUGAAUAUUUCAAUUUGUUAAAUGUGGUUACCGAAUAAGAGAUAAAAUCAAUAGCUUCGAUAUAAUAUUACCAUUUUGUUAAGGUUGAUGUCACAAAACCGUUCCUUGCUCGAGUUUUAAAUUGAGUUGCUCCGAAGUCAGUGAGUGCAAUACGAUUAUUUACACAUUAUUAAAACUUUCAUAAAUUCUUAAACACAAGUACAUGGAACUGCAUAUGUAAAUGUAAAUAUCUACAGUAUACGCACAUACAUAGGGGUAUGAAAUAUUCUAAUGGAUGAUGUGACUGUAUUAUGGAAUUGUGUCAUACGGUGUGGUCAGCGAAGAUGGUUCUCAUUGUAAACUAAAAAUACCGAAAUAUGAAAAAGUAAAUAAAACAAUUUUUAAGUGGGUUAAAAUUUUAAUUGAUGACAGCACUUCA
rnacentral:lncRNA from 1 species